rnacentral:rRNA from 1 species
CGCCAAAAAAGUACAAGCCAAGCUUCAAACUUAAAAGACCUGGCGGUACUCUAAAUAAACCUAGAGGGGCCUGUCUAGUAAUCGAUAAUCCACGAAAAACCCAACCUCUUCUGGCCAAAUCAGCCUGUAUACCGCCGUCGAAAGCUAAUUUUUCAAGAAAUAUAAAGCUAAAAAGUACAGUUAACUAACACGUCAGGUCAAGGUGUAGCACAUGAAGAGGAUAAGAUUGGCCACAGUA